rnacentral:rRNA from 1 species
CGUACGCUGGCGGCAGGCCUACACAUGCAAGUCGAGCGGAUGAAGGGAGCUUGCUCCUGGAUUCAGCGGCGGACGGGUGAGUAAUGCCUAGGAAUCUGCCUGGUAGUGGGGGAUAACGUCCGGAAACGGGCGCUAAUACCGCAUACGUCCUGAGGGAGAAAGUGGGGGAUCUUCGGACCUCACGCUAUCAGAUGAGCCUAGGUCGGAUUAGCUAGUUGGUGGGGUAAAGGCCUACCAAGGCGACGAUCCGUAACUGGUCUGAGAGGAUGAUCAGUCACACUGGAACUGAGACACGGUCCAGACUCCUACGGGAGGCAGCAGUGGGGAAUAUUGGACAAUGGGCGAAAGCCUGAUCCAGCCAUGCCGCGUGUGUGAAGAAGGUCUUCGGAUUGUAAAGCACUUUAAGUUGGGAGGAAGGGCAGUAAGUUAAUACCUUGCUGUUUUGACGUUACCAACAGAAUAAGCACCGGCUAACUUCGUGCAGCC